AUUGAACGCUGGCGGCAGGCUUAACACAUGCAAGUCGAGCGGUGAAAGGUAGCUUGCUACUUGACCUAGCGGCGGACGGGUGAGUAAUGCUUAGGAAUCUGCCUAUUAGUGGGGGACAACAUCUCGACAGGGAUGCUAAUACCGCAUACGUCCUACGGGAGAAAGCAGGGGCCCUUCGGGCCUUGCGCUAAUAGAUGAGCCUAAGUCGGAUUAGCUAGUUGGUGGGGUAAAGGCCUACCAAGGCGACGAUCUGUAGCGGGUCUGAGAGGAUGAUCCGCCACACUGGGACUGAGACACGGCCCAGUCUCCUACGGGAGGCAGCAGUGGGGAAUAUUGGACAAGGGGGGGAACCCUGAUCCAGCCAUGCCGCGUGUGUGAAGAAGGCCUUUUGGUUGUAAAGCACUUUAAGCGAGGAGGAGGCUACCGAGAUUAAUACUCUUGGAUAGUGGACGUUACUCGCAGAAUAAGCACCGGCUAACUCUGUGCCAGCAGCCGCCGUAA
rnacentral:rRNA from 1 species